rnacentral:rRNA from 1 species
ACUCCUACGGGAGGCAGCAGUAGGGAAUCUUCCGCAAUGGACGAAAGUCUGACGGAGCAACGCCGCGUGAGCGAUGAAGGCCUUCGGGUCGUAAAGCUCUGUUGUCAGGGAAGGACAAGUACCGGAGUAACUGCCGGUACCUUGACGGUACCUGACCAGAAAGCCACGGCUAACUACGUGCCAGCAGCCGCGGUAAUA